rnacentral:misc_RNA from 1 species
GAUGAAGAACGUAGCGAAAUGCGAUAAGUAAUGUGAAUUGCAGAAUUCAGUGAAUCAUCGAAUCUUUGAACGCACCUUGCGCCCUUUGGCCAUUCCGAAGGGCAUGCCUGUUUGAGUAUCAUGAACACCUCAACUCUUUAUGGUUUUCCAUGAUGAGCUUGGACUUUGGGGGUUUUGCUGGCCUAUGGUCGGCUCCUCUAAAAUAAAUCAGCUUACCAGUGUUUGGUGGGUAUCAUGGGUGUGAUAACUAUCUACGCUUGUGGUUUUUCCGCCAGGUAACCUUCGACAGCGGAGGUUCACUGGAGCUCAUAGAUGUCUCUCCUCAGCGAGGACAGCCCUUUGAAUGUUUGAUCUCAAAUCAGGUAGGACUACCCGCUGAACUUAAGCAUAUCAAUAAGCGGAUGA